UGAUAAGGAUGGGGUGCGUGUGCUGUUGAACUUUGCCUCAGACUGUCCCCCUUGCAGACCAGACGUGCUGGUGUUAGUGGUGUCCAUGCUGAACACUGCACCACUGCACGUUCAGAACGUGGUCCUUCAGGCCGCCGUGCCCAAGUCCAUGAAGGUGAAGCUGCAGCCUCCGUCAGGAACAGAGCUGCCUCCCUUUAACCCCACCCUUCCCCGGCCUCCAUCACACAGGUCAUGCUGCUGGCCAAUCCCCUGAAGGAGAAGGUGCGUCUGCGCUACAAGCUGGCGUUCACUCUCGGAAACAGGCAGUGCUCAGAGGUGGGCGAGGUGGACCAGUUCCCCCCGCCAGACAGAUGGGGUCACCUAUAGCCACCCCCAUACACCACAGAGCUGAGCCAGGACGGGCCAAACCAACACUCCAUG